rnacentral:misc_RNA from 1 species
GAUGAAGAACGCAGCGAAAUGCGAUAAUUAAUGUGAAUUGCAGAAUUUAGUGAAUCAUCGAAUCUUUGAACGCACAUUGCGCCCCUUGGUAUUCCGGGGGGCAUGCCUGUUCGAGCGUCAUUUCAACCAUCAAGCCCCAGGCUUGUGUUGGGGACCUGCGGCUGCCGCAGGCCCUGAAAACCAGUGGCGGGCUCGCUGUCACACCGGGCGUAGUAGAUUUUAUCUCGCUCAGGGCGUGCUGCGGGUUCCGGCCGUUAAAAAGCCUUUUUUACCCAAGGUUGACCUCGGAUCAGGUAGGAAUACCCGCUGAACUUAAGCAUAUCAAUAAGCGGAGGA